ensembl:miRNA
CUAUUAGGUUGGUGCAAAAGUAAUUGCGGUUUUUGCCAUUAAAGGUAAUGGCAAAAACCGCAAUUACUUUUGCACCAACCUAGUGACUUUU